GGCCGGUUAGCUCAGCUGGUCAGAGCGUGGUGCUAAUAACGCCAAGGUCAUGGGUUUGAAUCCCGUACUUUCUC
rnacentral:tRNA from 1 species